GCGGCGUGCCUAACACAUGCAAGUCGAACGGGAAUCUUCGGAUUCUAGUGGCGGACGGGUGAGUAACGCGUAAGAAUCUAACUUCAGGACGGGGACAACAGUUGGAAACGACUGCUAAUACCCGAUGUGCCGCAAGGUGAAAACUAAUUGGCCUGAAGAAGAGCUUGCGUCUGAUUAGCUAGUUGGUGGGGUAAGAGCCUACCAAGGCGACGAUCAGUAGCUGGUCUGAGAGGAUGAGCAGCCACACUGGGACUGAGACACGGCCCAGACUCCUACGGGAGGCAGCAGUGGGGAAUUUUCCGCAAUGGGCGAAAGCCUGACGGAGCAACGCCGCGUGAGGGAGGAAGGUCUUUGGAUUGUAAACCUCUUUUCUCAAGGAAGAAGUUCUGACGGUACUUGAGGAAUCAGCCUCGGCUAACUCCGUGCCAGCAGCCGCGGUAAUACGGGGGAGGCAAGCGUUAUCCGGAAUUAUUGGGCGUAAAGCGUCCGCAGGUGGUCAGCCAAGUCUGCCGUCAAAUCAGGUUGCUUAACGACCUAAAGGCGGUGGAAACUGGCAGACUAGAGAGCAGUAGGGGUAGCAGGAAUUCCCAGUGUAGCGGUGAAAUGCGUAGAGAUUGGGAAGAACAUCGGUGGCGAAAGCGUGCUACUGGGCUGUAUCUGACACUCAGGGACGAAAGCUAGGGGAGCGAAAGGGAUUAGAUACCCCUGUAGUCCUAGCCGUAAACGAUGGAUACUAGGCGUGGCUUGUAUCGACCCGAGC
rnacentral:rRNA from 1 species